AUAAUAUCAAUGAGCAGAAAUAGUAGAUAAGGGAAUUUAGUUUAAGCGAACCUGGAUUAGUGAGAGCUGGGUACUGUAGCCGUUAUUGAAUGGGUCUGUGAGAUGUGAUGCGAACUAGUAGUAGCAUUAACCGGUAUGUCUACCGUUACAAAGACAGGGCAAUCGAGAAAUCCGUGCCUGGCAAAGAUAAUUAUUUAGGUGGUACAGCGAAAUUUAACAUUUCGUCCUUUAGUAGGAUGAAGUGUUUUUAUUUUUUUGUUACUAAAUAACUAAUAUGGGUGGCACCGCGGUCACUUCGUCCCAUUA
rnacentral:ncRNA from 1 species